rnacentral:rRNA from 1 species
GGAUAACACCUGGAAACAGAUGCUAAUACCGGAUAACAACACUAGACGCAUGUCUAGAGUUUGAAAGAUGGUUCUGCUAUCACUCUUGGAUGGACCUGCGGUGCAUUAGCUAGUUGGUAAGGUAACGGCUUACCAAGGCAAUGAUGCAUAGCCGAGUUGAGAGACUGAUCGGCCACAUUGGGACUGAGACACGGCCCAAACUCCUACGGGAGGCAGCAGUAGGGAAUCUUCCACAAUGGACGAAAGUCUGAUGGAGCAACGCCGCGUGAGUGAAAAAGGGUUUCGGCUCGUAAAGCUCUGUUGGUAGUGAAGAAAGAUAGAGGUAGUAACUGGCCUUUAUUUGACGGUAAUUACUUAGGAAGUCACGGCUAACUACGUGCCAGCAGCCGCGGUAAUACGUAGGUGGCAAGCGUUGUCCGGAUUUAUUGGGCGUAAAGCGAGUGCAGGCGGUUCAAUAAGUCUGAUGUGAAAGCCUUCGGCUCAACCGGAGAAUUGCAUCAGAAACUGUUGAACUUGAGUGCAGAAGAGGAGAGUGGAACUCCAUGUGUAGCGGUGGAAUGCGUAGAUAUAUGGAAGAACACCAGUGGCGAAGGCGGCUCUCUGGUCUGCAACUGACGCUGAGGCUCGAAAGCAUGGGUAGCGAACAGGAUUAGAUACCCUGGUAGUCCAUGCCGUAAACGAUGAGUGCUAAGUGUUGGGAGGUUUCCGCCUCUCAGU